rnacentral:rRNA from 1 species
GAUGAACGCUAGCUACAGGCUUAACACAUGCAAGUCGAGGGGCAGCAUUAAAGUUUGCUUGCAAACUUUAGAUGGCGACCGGCGCACGGGUGAGUAACACGUAUCCAACCUGCCGAUAACUCGGGGAUAGCCUUCCGAAAGAAAGAUUAAUACCCGAUGGUAUAUUUUCACCGCAUGGUGAAACUAUUAAAGAAUUUCGGUUAUCGAUGGGGAUGCGUUCCAUUAGGCAGUUGGUGAGGUAACGGCUCACCAAACCUUCGAUGGAUAGGGGUUCUGAGAGGAAGGUCCCCCACAUUGGAACUGAGACACGGUCCAAACUCCUACGGGAGGCAGCAGUGAGGAAUAUUGGUCAAUGGGCGCGAGCCUGAACCAGCCAAGUAGCGUGAAGGAUGACGGCCCUAUGGGUUGUAAACUUCUUUUAUAUGGGAAUAAAGUUUGGUAUGUAUACCAUUUUGUAUGUACCAUAUGAAUAAGGAUCGGCUAACUCCGUGCCAGCCGCCGCGGUAAUAC